AUUGAACGCUGGCGGCAGGCUUAACACAUGCAAGUCGAGCGGAGAUGAGGUGCUUGCACCUUGUCUUAGCGGCUUACGGGUGAGUGAUGCUUAGGAAGCUGCCUAGCAGGGGGGGACAACAUUCCGAAAGGAAUGCUAAUACCGCACACGCUCUACGUGGAUAAGCAGGGGAAUUUCGUAACUAGCUCUAAUAGCUGAACUUAAGUCGGAUUAGCUAGUGGGUGGGGUAAAGGCCUACCAAGCCGACGAUCUGUAGCGGGUCUGAGAGGAUGAUCCGCCACAAUGGGACUGAGACACGGCCCAGACUCCUACGGGAGGAAGCAGUGGGGAAUAUUGGACAAUGGGCGGAAGCAUGAUCCAGCCAUGCCGCGUGUGUGAAGAAGGCCUUUUGGUUGUAAAGCACUAUAAGCGAGGAGGAGGCUCUCCUAGUUAAUACCUAGAAAGAGUGGGCGUUACUCGCAGAAUAAGCACCGGCUAACUCUGUGCCAGCCGCCGCGGUAAUAC
rnacentral:rRNA from 1 species